ensembl:misc_RNA Metazoa_SRP Metazoan signal recognition particle RNA
GCUGGGCAUGGUGGUGGGUGCCUGUAAUCCCAGGUACUUGGGAGGCUGAGGCAGGAGAAUUGCUUGAACCUGGGAGGCGGGGGUUGCAGUGAGCCGAGAUUGCACCACUGCACUCCAGCCUGGGCAACACAGCAAGAUUCUGUCUCAA